rnacentral:rRNA from 1 species
AGUGAACGCUGGCGGUAGGCCUAACACAUGCAAGUCGAACGGCAGCACAGUAAGAGCUUGCUCUUACGGUUGGCGAGUGGCGGACGGGUGAGGAAUACAUCGGACUCUACUUUUUCGUGGGGGAUAACGUAGGGAAACUUACGCUAAUACCGCAUACGACCUACGGGUGAAAGCAGGGGAUCUUCGGACCUUGCGCGAUUGAUUGAGCCGAUGUCGGAUUAGCUAGUUGGCUGGGUAAAGGCCCACCAAGGCGACGAUCCGUAGCUUGUCUGAGAGGAUGAUCAGCCACACUGGAACUGAGACACGGUCCAGACUCCUACGGGAGGCAGCAGUGGGGAAUAUUGGACAAUGGGCGCAAGCCUGACCCAGCCAUACCGCGUGGGUGAAGAAGGCCUUCGGGUUGUAAAGCCCUUUUGUUGGGAAAGAAAAGCAGUAGGUUAAUACGCCGCUGUUCUGACGGUACCCAAAGAAGAAGCACCGGCUAACUUCGUG